rnacentral:lncRNA from 1 species
GACCCCUGGACCCAAUCUGAUCAGUUAGGCAGUUAGGCGGUUACUGCCCAAAUGACCAGAUUGACCCCAUAAGAACCCCUAUAAAUAGAGGGCACCCCCCACUCAUUAAAGGCAAGUCAUUUUGGAGAAGAAGGAUUUCUAGCGAAGCAGAGCUCUGCACACUUGAGUUCCGGUCCGGUUUCCCGCGGAGUUCCCCGCUUGGCGCUUGCUUGCGCGUCUUGGAGUACUGGUCGGGUUUCACCCCCAUCAGUUGGCGCCGUCUGUGAUUCAAAGAUACUCACGACAAAAGCUCCUCGACUUCUUCGAAAAAAGGGAUCGACUUUUUUCCAAGUCGCCAGCUAGGAAGUUUUGCGAGGAAAUCAGCCAGCAAGGGAUCGACAUUUCAGGAGAUCGACUUUUUCUUCCGAAAAAAAAGUCGACCCCUCAAGGAGCUAGGCUUUCGAACAUCGGCUU